CCCUGACUGUGGAAAUGAAGUGGAAAGGUCAUUUAAGUUCUGUCCUCAUUGUGGCUACAAAUUAUUUGUCUUGACUCAAAAUAGGACCAAAGAUGUGGCCUCAUCAGCACAUCAACCCUCAGACACUGCUGAGGAGAAGAACCAAAAGGAGGAUCCUGACCAGGUUCCAAAAGAGGUUAAAGAAGAACAAGCAAACACUGCCCAGAUAAAGGGGCAGCCGGCUAGUGAUGACCAAGAGGCAGGCAGAGAUGGCGCUACACCACAGGACCCAUCAGAUAACACUGC